CAACAAAAAUACAUUAUUAUAAUCUUAUGGGACCAUCAUCUAAUAUGCAGUCCAUCAUUGUCUGGAAUGUCAUUAUGCAGUGCAUGACUGUAUUUAUGGUAUAUAACAUGUUUUGAUAUAUGUAUAUGUUAUGGAAUGGCUAAAUCAAUCUAAUUAACAUAUCUAUUACCUCACAUACUUAUCUUUUUUCAUGGCGAGAACAUUUAAAGUCUAUUCUCUUAGCUAUUUUCAAGUAUACAAUACAUUGUUAAUAACUAUAGUUAGCAUAUUGUACAAUAGAUCUUCUGAAGUUACAAUAGAUCUGAAAUUUUGUAUCCUUUAACCAACAUCUCCCAAUGCCCUCUACUGCCAGCUGCAUCUCUGCCAGGUUUUGGUGUCAGGCUGAUGUUGGUCUCAUAAAAUGAGUUAGGGAGGAUUCCCUCUUUUCUGUAUUAUUUGGAAUAGUUUCAGAAGGAAUGGUACCAGGACCUCUUUGUACCUCUGGUAGAAUUCAGCCACGAACCUGCCUGGUCCUGGACUCUUUUUGGUUGGUAGGCUAUUAAUUGCUGCCUUAAUUUCAGACCUUGUUAUUGUUCUUUUCAGGGAUUCGACUUCUUCCUGGUUUAGUC